rnacentral:rRNA from 1 species
GACAGAGGGUGCAAACGUUGUUCGGAAUUACUGAGCGUAAAGCGAGUGUAGGCGGUCUGAAAAGUCGGGUGUGAAAGCCCUGGGCUCAACCCAGGAAGUGCACUCGAAACUGCCAGGCUAGAGUAUCGGAGAGGUUGGUGGAAUUCUCGGUGUAGAGGUGAAAUUCGUAGAUAUCGAGAGGAACACCGGUGGCGAAGGCGGCCAACUGGACGAAUACUGACGCUGAGACUCGAAAGCGUGGGGAGCAAACAGG